AUUGAACGCUGGCGGCAUGCCUAACACAUGCAAGUCGGACGAGUGGCGGACGGGUGAGUAAUGCCUGGGAAACUACCUGGUGAUGGGGGAUAACUACUGGAAACGGUAGCUAAUACCGCAUACCAUCCGAGGGGCCCAUAUGGGAUUAGCUGGUUGGGGGGGUAACGGCUCACCAAGGCGACGAUCCCUAGCUGGUCUGAGAGGAUGACCCGCCACACUUGAACUGAGACACGGUCCAGACUCCUACGGGAGGCAGCAGUGGGGAAUAUUGCACAAUGGGCGCAAGCCUGAUACAGCCAUGCCGCGUGUAUGAAGAAGGCCUUCGGGUUGUAAAGUACUUUUGUCGGGGAGGCGUUACCCGCAGAAUAAGCACCGGCUAACUACGUGCCAGCAGCCGCGGUAAUAC
rnacentral:rRNA from 1 species